rnacentral:lncRNA from 1 species
GACGCGCCGGCAGAGGCGGCGGUGUGAACGCUCUGCAGUCUCGCCUAGGUGUUCUGCGCCCACCGUGCUGGCUGAGGAGGGGGCCUCCCGCCGCAAGGCCGCCGGGCCCUCGGUUUAAAUGUAAUGCUGGAUUUUUAUAUCUCCUUUUAAGCUAUAUUAAUGCAGCAAGUCCUAAAGCCAUAAUGUGGCAUGCUCUCCUUUUUGAGAG